GGCGUUUCCCGGGUGACAAACCCCAGAAAUGGGCUCCCUCCUCUCUGGUUCUGGGGUGCGUCACCUGAGAACCAUC
rfam:Myotis davidii contig29152, whole genome shotgun sequence.